rnacentral:rRNA from 1 species
UGCUUUACACAUGCAAGUCGAACGGCAGCACGGGGGCAACCCUGGUGGCGAGUGGCGAACGGGUGAGUAAUGCAUCGGAACGUACCGUGUAAUGGGGGAUAACGAGUCGAAAGACUUGCUAAUACCGCAUACGCCCUGAGGGGGAAAGCGGGGGAUCGUAAGACCUCGCGUUAUACGAGCGGCCGAUGUCGGAUUAGCUAGUUGGUGGGGUAAAGGCUCACCAAGGCGACGAUCCGUAGCUGGUCUGAGAGGACGACCAGCCACACUGGGACUGAGACACGGCCCAGACUCCUACGGGAGGCAGCAGUGGGGAAUUUUGGACAAUGGGGGCAACCCUGAUCCAGCCAUGCCGCGUGAGUGAAGAAGGCCUUCGGGUUGUAAAGCUC